rnacentral:tRNA from 1 species
GGUUCCAUAAUGUAGCAGUUAAUACCUCUGCUUUACACGCAGAAGAUCCUGGGUUCACACCCCAGUGAAGCCA